AUUACCCCCAUAGCACGCACUGAAUAGUUUAGCAAGUCCGCACGUGGGCCACAGCCCUCCCCCUCCCAGCACAGCAGGUCAGACAGCGGCAUUGGCUGUGAGCACGACGCCUUGGGGCGUAGCCAAAGCUGGCGUACUAGAUGCCUCUGAUGUCCAUGGUCCCCCCUUACCCCUCCCUUCAUGCACCAGUGGCAGUAUGUACCUUCCAACUUUCUGACCCAGGUCCCAAAUCUUGGGGUGACAGGACAGUGCCCCCCACAUUGAAUGCAGCAAAUAUCCUGAAUUCUCCUUAUCCCAGAGGGGGGUAAACCAGAAAUGUCUCAGUAAGGGGACGCUGGAGGCUCAUUAGAAGAAAAAUCUCUAUUUAGAAAACUCUCGGCAGAAGGAAGAGAAUCUCUGGGGAGAGAGAUUUAUCCAUCUGGCUAAGGGCUGCACACCGAGAAGGGCACUGUCUGUCUGCGUCUUGUGGGUAACAGAUAUUUGCAGACGGGGAGAGGUAACGCACAAGGGAGAGGAAGAAAUAGGUCAAAUAUUUGCAGGAGCAAGAAAAAACGAUUUCACCAGGACGAACCGACUGCAAUCAGCAUAUAACCAGGCGCUCCGAGGCUUGGGGAGCUGAUGACUGCAAAGAACAGACCGGAGGACUGAAAUAGAGGAGCUUAAAUGUGAUUUCCAAGCUAUAUUUAUCAAUAGGUGAGGAGCCCUGUUGCCAGUGGAAAGAGCGAUAGUCUCAAAAUGUCAUCUUACGUGACUGAGCCCCUUUAGCAAGUACUUGAAUCAUUUUAAU